rnacentral:misc_RNA from 1 species
GAUGAAGAACGCAGCGAAAUGCGAUAAGUAAUGUGAAUUGCAGAAUUCAGUGAAUCAUCGAAUCUUUGAACGCACAUUGCGCCCCUUGGUAUUCCGAGGGGCAUGCCUGUUCGAGCGUCAUUACACCACUCAAGCUAUGCUUGGUAUUGGGCGUCGUCCUUAGUUGGGCGCGCCUUAAAGACCUCGGCGAGGCCACUCCGGCUUUAGGCGUAGUAGAAUUUAUUCGAACGUCUGUCAAAGGAGAGGAACUCUGCCGACUGAAACCUUUAUUUUUCUAGGUUGACCUCGUAUCAGGUAGGGAUACCCGCUGAACUUAAGCAUAUCAAUAAGCGGAGGA